rnacentral:rRNA from 1 species
GACGAACGCUGGCGGCGUGCUUAACACAUGCAAGUUGAACGGAAAGGCCCUGCUUUUGUGGGGUUCUCGAGUGGCGAACGGGUGAGUAACACGUGAGUAUCCUGCCCUUGACUUUGGGAUAACUUCAGGAAACUGGGGCUAAUACCGGAUAGGAGCUCCUGCUGCAUGGUGGGGGUUGGAAAGUUUCGGCGGUUGGGGAUGGACUCGCGGCUUAUCAGCUUGUUGGUGGGGUAGUGGCUUACCAAGGCUUUGACGGGUAGCCGGCCUGAGAGGGUGACCGGCCACAUUGGGACUGAGAUACGGCCCAGACUCCUACGGGAGGCAGCAGUGGGGAAUAUUGCACAAUGGGCGGAAGCCUGAUGCAGCAACGCCGCGUGCGGGAUGACGGCCUUCGGGUUGUAAACCGCUUUCGCCUGUGACGAAGCGUGAGUGACGGUAAUGGGUAAAGAAGCACCGGCUAACUACGUG